rnacentral:pre_miRNA from 1 species
UUUUUAGUGUAAGUAUGUCCCACAUAGUAUCUGGGACAUACUUAUACUAAGA